rnacentral:piRNA from 1 species
UGAUUCUUCACUCCAAUUUAUUUCUUGUU